GAUGAACGCUAGCGGCAGGCCUAACACAUGCAAGUCGAGGGGUAGAGGAAGCUUGCUUCCUUGAGACCGGCGCACGGGUGCGUAACGCGUAUGCAAUCUACCUUUUACAGAGGGAUAGCCCAGAGAAAUUUGGAUUAAUACCUCAUAGUAUCUUUGCCUGGCAUCGGGUGAUUAUUAAAGUUCCAACGGUAAAAGAUGAGCAUGCGUCCUAUUAGCUAGAUGGUAAGGUAACGGCUUACCAUGGCAACGAUAGGUAGGGGUCCUGAGAGGGGGACCCCCCACACUGGUACUGAGACACGGACCCGACUCCUACGGGAGGCAGCAGUGAGGAAUAUUGGACAAUGGGCGCAAGCCUGAUCCAGCCAUGCCGCGUGCAGGAAGACGGUCCUAUGGAUUGUAAACUGCUUUUGUACGGGAAGAAACACUCCUACGUGUAGGAGCUUGACGGUACCGUAAGAAUAAGGAUCGGCUAACUCCGUGCCAGCCGCCGCCGUAACAC
rnacentral:rRNA from 1 species